rnacentral:lncRNA from 10 species
UAAAAGUGGUCAAUACUCAAUUUGAAAACAAAAAGGUUGGCUGAAGGGGUUGGCUCAUGAAAAAGUUGUAAUAAGAAAAGCUGCAAAUGCAGAUUAAGUAUAUAUUGUAGAGGACCUUGAAUGCAAGGCUUACAAGUGAGCCAAUGUGUACACAGUGCGGGGAUGCUGAAGUUUCAGGCUAUAUUUUUUUAGGAGUAGAGAAACAAAAGGCAAAAAUAACAAAACAAAAACAAAAAAAUAAAAAUUCCAUAACAGUACACGUAAAGACUAAAGAAAAAGGGACCAGUUAUGAGA